rfam:Colletotrichum gloeosporioides Cg-14 contig02785, whole genome shotgun sequence.
GGUCUAUUAGUCUAGUUGGUUAGGACGUCGGAUUCUGAUGAUGAAUACCAUCAGUUCCCUUCCGUAAGCCCAGGUUCGAAUCCUGGAUGGACCU